GCCAGGGAAGAGCGGCACGGACACGUUCCUGCUCGCUCCGUUGCACCGGAAUUUCGACGGCUGGGUUCGGCCGCUAAAUUGAUGGCGCUACCGGAAGAAAUUUCAGAAAAAAAGGGUGGCUUUUUCGUCGAUCUCUUUGUGAGAGUAUCAAAUCAGGCGGCGGUAAAUACGUAGAAGCAGCUGGGCGUACUACGGCGUGUACCGGACAGCGUUGGCGUGCCGCUCUGCUAGCAGCGGAGAGCCAGAUGAGGAUGCCCGUGAUAUGAGAAAAGCUCUGUCCAGAGAUAUGGAGACGAAAUCAGUUGUACCUCACCCUGUGACACCGGAAGACAUUGAGUAACUCGUCCUGCAGCUGGCUCCUCGGUUUUGGCGGCAGCCUGCACAUAGCAGCCCAGCUCUCCAGCAGCCUGACGGACCGACCGUGUGUCUGUUCCACGCCGGACUGGCGAGCGUGGCUCUGGGUAGGACAGCCGAGGUGCCCCAGGGCCGGGCCCCGAGCCCCGGUGCGGAGUCUCUCCCGGAACCGGCUCUGUGUGUGACUGAAUAAACGCUUGCGGUCUCUUUUGCCGUG